rnacentral:lncRNA from 12 species
AGGAGCCCCCUACCCUGCGGGACAGAGAAGCCACAUGCACAGACACUGCCCAUCCCUGGCCUUCCAGCCACCCCGACGGGAGCCCCGGGCACGUGGGCCACCCCAGCCGAUGCCGGAGGGAGCAGAGGCAGGCUGCCACCCAGACCUGCCCAUUCAGAGACUCCUGGGCAAAAACAUGGUUAUUGUCAUUUUAAGCCAGUAACCUGGGGACGUUCCUUAGUCUGCAACUGCUGGCCAGUUCGGCAGAGCCGCAGCCUCAGAAGGGGCCGUCCCUACCCCGUAGGGCCAGUUUUGUUGGUCUCAGAUUUUAUCGCCUGUCCUGGGCAACUUCCUCUUUACCUCGUCAGCUCCACUCCACGCUCCUGCUGUCUGCUACUCGCGGACUUUGGAGGAAGAUCAGUGACGUGGCGGAAAAGGCCUCGGCCUCGGGCUGAUGCCCUCAGAGGAGACUGCCAGGUGCGAGUACCAGGCCUCCUGCUUGGUGACGGUCAACACGGUGCCCCGGGAGGCCCCAGGGUGGAGAGAGCAGAACCACAGGAUAAAGGAGGCAGCCCUGCAGCUGAACUCGGAAGAGAGCCACCUGCCAAUCAGAUACCCGUUCCGGACUGGGCGAGAAAGGACUACGUCUCGUAUUCUGUUCCUGGGACAUGGUGCCCGUCUGCUAGAGCCACUGGCAUCACCCUCGCCGACUCGUGUACCCACGAGAAUGAUGCAAAGUACAGCCCCAAGCACUUUAGAGAUCAAGCCCAGCUCUCAAUAGUAUUCGGGGAGGUGACGUGAUUCCCCAAGACCAACAGUCUAGCACUGGAAUCCGGGUGUUGUUUAUUAGGAUGAACUGAAACCGUACAAAACAAAGAGUCACGUAUUGGCUCAUUUAAUUGAAAAAUUCCUGGGUAGGGCUGGAUCCAGAGGCUGAGACAAAUGCGCCCCGAUCCGGCGUCUCCCUCUGAGCCCUGGGUGGGCUCUGUUCCCAGGAGGCCUCUCCACGUCUGGGAGCGGGACGUGGCUGGCAGCUGCACGAUAGAACCCCGACCAAAUGGAAGUCUUUCCUCGCCCACCCUUGAAAACCUUGGAGGAAUUGCUUCUGGUGGACCUGGCCCUGUCGGCUGCUCAUCGCCCACCCAGACGCUGCAGCCACCAGCCUAGUUGACCAGCUGGGUGGCAUCGGCCCCAAUCGGGAGAACUGGAGCCAGAAGUCGGGGUUCUUGCCCUACUUAACUCACCACGACACCUCUCACAGGAGCAUUGACUGCACGUCUACUCGGCGAACAUUUGCAAUACGCCGGACUCGGCGGGAGGCUCUCGUGGAGAAAAAGACGAGCAGGACACGCGCCUCCGCUCGACCCCCAGUCGUGUGGGUCUCGUCAAACAUGUGCACAAAUAGGCAGCUGGGCCCCGGCCCACGGUCUGAACAAGCUGACUAGGAGGCACGGCGAGGGUGUGCCUGGGGCCCGCGGCUGUGAGUUCUUGCUGUGGGGCCACAUGUUCAAGUCCGCGGGGAGUCGGUGCCACUAGAAGGAGUAGACACAGUGAAGCCGAGGAGUAAAAGAGCAAACUGAAGCGCAGCUGGACAAGGCAGGGAGGACCCGGACGUCCCUUGUGCUUCCCAACCCCACCCGACCCGCCGACCCAAACGGCCAGCUUAUGGGAAGCAACUUAGGAUGGAAGCGCGUUCGUCUCCCAUAAGACGUCCUGCUGACAAGGGGAGAGCGGGCAGCUUAGCCGAAGGCCGCAGGUUCUUCCCGCCGCGGGGUCGGUG